AGCAUUUUUUAGUCGUAAAAGCGAUCGUUGCAAAACAAGUGGCUUGAAAGAUAUUCGUGGAUUGUGGUCAAUAGUGAUGGAAGUUGCCGCUGUUCAACCUGUUGCUGGGCACAAGAGAAUGGCCGUAAAGCAUCGGUCCAUGCUAACGCGGUGAAACGGAGCCCAUGGUUUUUAGAAAAUAACGGAUGGAAAGAUUUUUUAGGAAAGGAAUGAACAGCAUCGAGAAGCACGCUCAAGCGAAGUAUCACAACGAAGCUGAGACCGCAAUGAAUGUAAGUUUAACAUUACUAGAAGUUGCAAAACGUAUUGCUUUAGGCCCUCUUUAGUGGUUUUAUACAUUCUAAGUCAGUUGAUAAAUUGUUUAUUUACAGAUUGGACUAAACGAAUCAGCCAACAUAAGCCGAAUCGAUCGCAGAGUAGAACAAUUCCAAAAAUCAAACCGGGUUGCAAUGAGCGCAAUCAAUCAUUGAUGCGCUUCGUUAUUUGGGCGAAUGCUGCUCUGCCAUUCGCGGCCACUGCGACGAAAAGCAAUCGAGUAAUUUAUGGAGAUUAAUUAGGCUUCUGUGUCGGUACAAUCCAACCAUUAAACAGUAUUUUGAUGAUGGUACAGCUACUAAGUUUGACAUUCAAAAUGAAAUUUUAUCUGUAAUCAGUAAUAAUGUAACACGUGUUCUUAUUGGAAAUAUCAAAACACAAUCCCGUGGCGAACAGCAUAUGUCAUCUGUAUUUUCAAUCAUCAUUGAUGAGACAUCAGAUUUGUCAAAUUUGGAGCAGGUGAGUGUUUGCAUUCGCUACGCCACAGACCAACUUCAUAGUAACGAAAGUUUUCUCGGAUUUUAUGAAACGUCGGAAACUGAUGCAUCCAAACUGCGAAAAAUUGUCGACGAUGUUUUGUUAAGGUUUGGUCUUAACAUACAGCAGCUACGCGGCCAAGGUUAUGACGGCGGGAGUAACAUGUCCGGAAAAAUAAGGGGUCUUCAGAAAAGAAUUUCUGAUGAUAACUGCAAGGCUCUUUACUUUCAUUGUACAGGGCAUCAGCUAAACCUCAUAUGCCAGGACGCAUGUGCUGCAAACCCUUUAGUUGGACAAGCGAUGGGCCAUAUUAACAAGAUUAUUAAUUAUAUAAAGGAAUCUCCAAAACGCUGGACUGCGUUUCAAUGUGUUGUAUUUGAAGGCUAUCAAAAGAUCCGACCUUUAUGUCCGACACGUUGGGUUCAAAGUCCAUAGAAAUCACAAGUUAAGAAAGGAACAAUUUGGACGCCAUUUUUGUUCGAAGAAUUUGGCGGGAAAGAGAAAGCUACCGGUACAUUCCAUGACCACACUGCGUGGCGAAAAGUUUACUAAAUGCAACAAAAAGUGCAGAACAUUCGGUAUUGGGGGAAAUUAUGAUCAUCUUCACUUGUGGCAACUGCAACCAGGAGUUUAACUUUCCAGUGAAGCAAGGAGAUGCUGCUGAAUAAAGUGAUCUGAACAGAUAUCGAUU